GUGCACCAGGCGAGAAAACUUCACAAUGUGCGAAAGCACGAUGAGGGAAUCCCAAGUGCUUGCACGUAAGUGUAAGCUGUUUCUCUGUCUAAAACGCAGAGAGAGUAAGGGCUGGGUAAGACGGGUGCCAGCCGCCGCGGUAAUACCUGCAGCUCGAGUGGUGACCGUUAUUAUUGGGCCUAAAACGUCCGUAGCCGGUUUAAUAAAUGCCUGGGUAAAUCGGACCGCUUAACGGUUCGAAUUCCGGGUAGACUGUUAAACUUGAGACCGGGAGAAGUUAGAGGUACUCCUGGGGUAGAGGUGGAAUUCUGUAAUCCUAGGGGGACCACCAGUGGCGAAGGCGUCUAACUAGAACGGGUCUGACGGUGAGGGGACGAAGCCCUGGGGGCGCAAACGGGGAUUAGAUACCCGUGUAGU
rnacentral:rRNA from 1 species